rnacentral:rRNA from 1 species
UACGGGGGGGGCAAGCGUUGUUCGGAAUUACUGGGCGUAAAGGGCGCGUAGGCGGUUCGCUAAGUUGAAUGUGAAAACUCUGGGCUUAACCCAGAGCCUGCAUCCAAAACUGGCGAACUGGAGUACUGGAGGGGAAAGCGGAAUUCCUGGUGUAGCGGUGAAAUGCGUAGAUAUCAGGAGGAACACCGGUGGCGAAGGCGGCUUUCUGGACAGUAACUGACGCUGAGGCACGAAGGUCAGGGGAGCAAACGGG